rnacentral:rRNA from 1 species
CAGCAGCCGCGGUAAUACGGAGGGUGCAAGCGUUAAUCGGAAUUACUGGGCGUAAAGCGCACGCAGGCGGUCUGACAAGUCAGAUGUGAAAUCCCCGGGCUUAACCUGGGAACUGCAUUUGAAACUGUCAGGCUGGAGUCUUGUAGAGGGGGGUGGAAUUCCAGGUGUAGCGGUGAAAUGCGUAGAGAUCUGGAGGAAUACCGGUGGCGAAGGCGGCCCCCUGGACAAAGACUGACGCUCAGGUGCGAAAGCGUGGGGAGCAAACAGGAUUAGAUACCCGUGUAGUCCCUGUCUCUUAUCC